ACGCCUUAUACAUGCAAGUCGAACGAAGUAGCAAUACUUAGUGGCAGACGGGUGAGUAACAUGUGGGUAUCUUCCCUUUGGUGAGGAAUAACACGAGGAAACUUGUGCUAAUACCUCAUAAGUCUUUACGGAGAAAGCUUUAUGCGCCAAUGGAUGAGCCCGCACUUGAUUAGUUUGUUGGUGGGGUAAUGGCCUACCAAGACUUUGAUCAAUAGCUGAUCUGAGAGGAUGAUCAGCCACAUUGGGACUGAGACACGGCCCAAACUCCUACGGGAGGCAGCAGUAGGGAAUAUUGCACAAUGGAGGAAACUCUGAUGCAGCGAUGCCGCGUGAGUGAAGAAGGCCCUUGGGUUGUAAAGCUCUUUCGUCGGGGAAGAAAAUGACUGUACCCGAAUAAGAAGGUCCGGCUAACUUCGUGCCAGCAGCCGCGGUAAUACGAAGGGACCUAGCGUAGUUCGGAAUUACUGGGCUUAAAGAGUUCGUAGGUGGUUAAAAAAGUUGGUUGUGAAAUCCCGGAGCUUAACUCCGGAACUGCAAUCAAAACUUUUUAGCUAGAGUAUGAUAGAGGAAAGCAGAAUUUCUAGUGUAGAGGUGAAAUUCGUAGAUAUUAGAAAGAAUACCAAUUGCGAAGGCAGCUUUCUGGAUCAUUACUGACACUGAGGAACGAAAGCAUGGGUAGCGAAGAGGAUUAGAUACCCUCGUAGUCCAUGCCGUAAACGAUGUGUGUUAGACGUUGGAAAUUAAUUUUUAGUGUCGCAGCGAAAGCAAUAAACACACCGCCUGGGGAGUACGACC
rnacentral:rRNA from 1 species